rnacentral:rRNA from 1 species
AGGGAAUCUUCCGCAAUGGGCGAAAGCCUGACGGAGCAACGCCGCGUGAGUGAUGAAGGUCUUCGGAUCGUAAAACUCUGUUAUUAGGGAAGAACAAAUGUGUAAGUAACUAUGCACGUCUUGACGGCACCUAAUCAGAAAGCCACGGCUAACUACGUGCCAGCAGCCGCGGUAAUACGUAGGUGGCAAGCGUUAUCCGGAAUUAUUGGGCGUAAAGCGCGCGUAGGCGGUUUUUUAAGUCUGAUGUGAAAGCCCGCGGCUCAACCGUGGAGGGUCAUUGGAAACUGGAAAACUUGAGUGCAGAAGAGGAAAGUGGAAUUCCAUGUGUAGCGGUGAAAUGCGCAGAGAUAUGGAGGAACACCAGUGGCGAAGGCGACUUUCUGGUCUGUAACUGACGCUGAUGUGCGAAAGCGUGGGGAUCAAACAGGAUUAGAUACCCUGGUAGUCCACGCCGUAAACGAUGAGUGCUAAGUGUUAGGGGGUUUCCGCCCCUUAGUGCUGCAGCUAACGCAUUAAGCACUCCGCCUGGGGAGUACGACCGCAAGGUUG